rnacentral:rRNA from 1 species
GACGUAGGGGGCAAGCGUUGUCCGGAAUCAUUGGGCGUAAAGCGCUCGUAGGUGGAUCGGUAAGUCUGCAAAGAAAGACCCGGGCUCAACUCGGGGAACGGUGUGGAUACUACCGAUCUUGAGGCAAUCAGAGGAUGAUGGAAUUCCCGGUGUAGCGGUGAAAUGCGCAGAUAUCGGGAGGAACACCCGUAGCGAAGGCGGCACUCUGGGCCGGAACUGACGCUGAGGAGCGAAAGCGUGGGGAGCAAACAGG